rnacentral:rRNA from 1 species
UUAAGGAAACUGCCGGUGAUAAGCCGAGGAAGGUGGGGAUGACGUCAAGUCCUCAUGCCCUUACAGGGCUGGGCUACACACGUGCUACAAUGGCAUCUACAGUGGGCAGCUAUUCCGCAAGGAUGCGCUAAUCUCCAAAAGAUGUCUCAGUUCGGAUUGUCCUCUGCAACUCGAGGGCAUGAAGGCGGAAUCGCUAGUAAUCGCGGAUCAGCAUGCCGCGGUGAAUACGUUCCCAGGCCUUGUACACACCGCCCGUCACACCAUGGGAGUUGGAUUCACCCGAAGGCAGUGCGCUAACCGCAAGGAGGCAGCUGACCACGGUGGGUUCAGCGACUGGGGUGAAGUCGUAACAAGGUAGCCGUAGGGGAACCUGCGGCUGGAUCACCUCCUUACA